UACAGAGGUCCCAAGCGUUGUUCGGAUUCAUUGGGCGUAAAGGGUGCGUAGGUGGCGCGCUAAGUCGGGUGUGAAAUUUCGGAGCUUAACUCCGAAACUGCAUUCGAUACUGGUGUGCUUGAGGACUGGAGAGGAGACUGGAAUUCAUGGUGUAGCAGUGAAAUGCGUAGAGAUCAUGAGGAAGACCAGUGGCGAAGGCGGGUCUCUGGACAGUUCCUGACGCUGAGGCACGAAGGCCAGGGGAGCAAACGGG
rnacentral:rRNA from 1 species